UUUCUUUUCCUGAUAGAAGCCUGUUGCGUUGACGACACUGAGAGCAGGCCAUGCAAAACCAAGAGGGAGAAAGAAUGAGGCAAUGAAGGAAAGAGUCUCUGCAUUGCAGGGAAGCAGCAGGGGAGAGGAAGGUGAUAGAACAGACCAUUUCUUCUGGGAAACUGAUGGGGAGCCCAACUGAUGGCACCGCGGAAGCCCUGGGCCUUUUUUGCUAACACCAGGGAGCCAAGAUUCUGAGGCUUCUCUCAAGACACGGCAUUUCCAACUCAGAAACCACUGGAAAUGUGAGGGAUUCACGAUAAAGCCAAACCAUUCACUAUUA